rnacentral:rRNA from 2 species
UACGAAGGGUGCAAGCGUUACUCGGAAUUACUGGGCGUAAAGCGUGUGCAGGUGGUUUGUUAAGUCUGCUGUGAAAGCCCCGGGCUCAACCUGGGAAUGGCAGUGGAGACUGGCAAGCUAGAGUGCGGUAGAGGAUAGUGGAAUUCCCGGUGUAGCGGUGAAAUGCGUAGAGAUCGGGAGGAACACCAGUGGCGAAGGCGGCUAUCUGGACCAGCACUGACACUCAGACACGAAAGCGUGGGGAGCAAACAGG